rnacentral:rRNA from 1 species
AUUGAACGCUGGCGGCAGGCCUAACACAUGCAAGUCGAACGAGUGGCGGACGGGUGAGUAAUGUCUGGGAAACUGCCUGAUGGAGGGGGAUAACUACUGGAAACGGUAGCUAAUACCGCAUACCAUCGGAUGUGCCCAGAUGGGAUUAGAUAGUAGGUGGGGUAAAGGCUCACAUAGGCGACGAUCCCUAGCUGGGCUGAGAGGAGGACCAGCCACACUGGAACUGAGACACGGCCCAGACUACUACGGGAGGCAGCAGUGGGGAAUAUUGCACAAUGGGCGCAAGCCUGAUGCAGCCAUGUCGCGUGGAUGAAGAAGUCCUUCGGGUUGUAAAGUACUUUCAGCGGGGAGGCGUUACCCGCAGAAGAAGCACCGGCUAACUCCGUGCCAGCAGCCGCGGUAAUUC